CUCCUGGGAGAAAUCAAAUCCUAGCCCCCUGAAUUGGGGCCACAUGACCUCUCUGGACCUGUUUCCCCAUCUGGGAAAUGAAGGGCUCAACUAAUGAAAACUGGACUCGAAGACCCUUUCUAGCUCGAAAUCUUGGCUUCUAGAUCCGGGUUCUUAACCUGGGGUCCAUAAACCUCAACAGAGUUCAAGAGUUAACGAGGAGGCCGUGGGGCUGGCGAGGGGCUGCCAGAUUGGAGUCGGGGAUGGCUGAGCAAACAUUUGUCUGUGAGUGUCGGAGGGACAGUUUGUUCUGGAAAGCAUCUGGAAUGCUGGAGCUGAUGAGAUAUUAACGGAGACAAGAAAAUUGACAUUAACCCGGGGAACUUUGGACCGGGAUGAAGAGAAACAAGCCUCAAGUGAAAAAAAAAAAAUCCCUUCCUUUAGCGUCUGUUGUAGACUGAUAGGACCGAACAGGGAUUGAGGAGGAAAAGAAUAAAACUGGUUAACUGAU